AUGGACAAGACGCCGGAGGCGGCGUUCAAGGCGGCGGAGGAUGCGCUAAAGGAGGCGGCGGCUGCGCGAGCGGAGGCGGACGCAGCCAAAGCCGAACUGGCGGCGCUAAAGGGGGAGAUGGCUGGUGCAGAGCAGAAACCGGGGGAGUUGAUGCCGGUGGCCCAGGCGCUGCCGGUGAGGCCCCGAGGUCCCAUCAACUACCCGCAGCUCACCCGCACCAACUAUACCCUCUGGGCGAUGCAGAUGCGGGUGGCGCUACAGUCAGCCUGCGUGUGGGAGGCAGUCCACUCCGACAAGGUGGAGUUCGAGCUGGAUCGUGACGCGCUCCUGGCAAUUUAUCAAGGCGUGCCGGAAGAUGUGCUCGCGUCGCUCGCCGGCAAGGACACGGCGAAGGCGGCGUGGGAGGCCAUCAAGUCUGUGCACGUCGGCCAUGACCGCGUGCGCGAGUCGAACCUGCAGGCGCUGCGUAAGGCCUUCGAGGGGCUGGAGAUGGGCGACAACGAGCAAACAGAGGUCUUCGCCACGCGCGUGAACAAGAUGGUGUCAUCCAUCCGUGCGCUCGGCGAUGAGGUGAAGGAGAUCACCGUUGUCCAAAAGAUGCUUCAAGCAGCGCCAGCGCGGCUCAUGCAUUUGGUCACCGCAUUGGAGCAGUGUGUCGAUCUGAAGACGCUCACGGUGGAGGACCUACUCGGGCGCUUCAAGGCGUAUGAGGAGCGCAUUAAGCAGCGCUUUGGUGAUCCUGUUGAUGGACAGCACCUCAUGCUGACCAGGAAGCAAUGGGAAGGUUACGUCGGGAAGAAGAACUGGGGCAGCAACGGAGCAGGUGGUAGUGGAAAGGGAGGCGCUGACCGUGGAAGUGACCACGGAAGAGGCGAUGACCAGUCGUCGAGCGCGAAAUCUGCUGCAACUCCGAAGAAAAAAUUCAAGUGCUAUAAUUGUGGUGAAAAAGGGCAUUUCUCGAGGGAAUGCACCAAGCCAAAGAAGAAGAAGCAAGAAAGAGCCAUGGUGGCUGAGAAGCAAAAUGAAGAACCUGCUCUUCUACUGUCAGAAACCUGUGUAAUAUCAGGUAACUCAGUAGAAGCAAAGGGCAGGGUGUACCUCAAUGAAGAAAAGGUGAAACCACAACUUAGUGAUGAUGGAAGGUAUGACACUAAAAUGUGGUAUCUUGACACUGGAGCUAGCAACCAUAUGACAGGCUCCAAAGCAAUGUUUACUAGUAUUGAUGAUUCAGUUACUGGAGUAGUCAAAUUUGGAGAUGGUUCCCUGGUUGAAAUUGAGGGCAGGGGUACCAUACUUAUUACUACAAGAGAUGGGGCUCAUCGUGGGCUAACUGAUGUUUAUUACAUACCAAAGUUGAGAAGUAAUAUCAUUAGUCUCGGACAGUUGGAAGAGUAUGGUUGCAAGGUCAUAUUAGAAGAUGGGUACCUGCAAAUAUUUGAUCAAGGGAGAAAACUGCUAGUAAAAGUACCAAGAGGAGAGAACAGGCUGUAUAUACUGAAUAUUAGUUUGGGCAUGCCUGUGUGUUUACUGUCAUCUAUCACUGAUGUGUCAUGGUUGUGGCAUGCUCGUUAUGGUCAUCUAAAUUUUGAUGCCUUGAGGUCUUUAGCUCAGCAUGACAUGGUUAAAGGGCUUCCUUUAGUGUGCCACAAGGACAGGGUAUGUGACGGCUGCCUCAUUGGCAAGCAGCGUCGACUACCAUUUCCAAAGCACGCAACUUUCAGAGCAGAAAAAAGUCUUGAGUUGGUGUAUACAGACCUGUGUGGUCCAAUUACACCUGCAACUCCUGCCGGAAAUCGCUACUUUAUGCUUAUAGUAGAUGAUUUCAGUCGGUUCAUGUGGGGAGUGCUGCUGAAAACCAAAGAUCAAGCAUUUGUUGCAUUCAGAAGGUUUAAAGCAGCUGCAGAGUUGAAAAGUGGGCUGAAGUUGAAAGUGCUCAGGAGUGAUAGAGGAGGAGAGUUUACAUCUGUUGAAUUCAAUUCCUUCUGUGAAGAUCAUGGAAUUCAACGCCAACUCACUGCACCCUACAGCCCUCAGCAGAACGGAGUUGUGGAGAGACGCAACCAAACUGUAGUUGCAAUGGCACGGUGUCUGCUGAAAAGCCAAAAUAUGCCGGGCUGUUACUGGGGGGAAGCAGUUGCUACUGCCAUUUAUAUCUUGAACCGAGCCCCCACGAAGAGUGUUGCUGUAAAAACACCUUAUGAAGCUUGGAAUGGCUAUAAACCAAAUGUUGGCCAUCUUCGGACUUUUGGUUGUUUGGCUCACGUCAAGGUAACAGGUCCAUCUGGUGGGAAAUUAGCUGACAGAAGUAUUCCAAUGGUAUUGAUUGGCUAUGAGAAAGGCUCAAAUGCAUAUAGACUUGUCAAUCCAGAGACAAAUCGUGUGUGUGUAUCAAGGGAUGUAGUUUUUGAAGAAUCAAAAGGUUGGCAGUGGUCCAGUGGAGAUGAUGUCACGAUCAGUGAUGACACUGAUAGGUUUCUGGUUCACUUUGAACCUGAACAAACUGAAUCAGUGAAUGACCAUGCUGCUCAAGAAGGUGAAAAUGCAGAAAACAGGGAAGGUACAGAACCAAUUACACCUAGGCAAGCAGUGCUUCCAGGGUCACCUGUUAUACCUGCUAUGGUGACACCAAUAUCCUCUGUUGCUGCAGAAAGUCCUGAAUCAUCUGCUCCACUGAAAAUGCGCUCCCUUGAUGAGAUUUUCGAUGCUACCUCUCCACACUGGAGUCCAGCUGAUUAUGACCAUAUGGAGGAACUUGAGUUGUGUAUGCUAGGUGCAGAGGAGCCAACUCACCACAAUGAUGCUCUGAAGCAUGAGCAUUGGAAGAAAGCCAUGGAGGAAGAGCUGAAAUCCAUAAAAGAAAAUGAUACAUGGGAAAUGGUAACACCACCUACUGGAGUGCGAGCCAUUGGACUGAAAUGGGUAUUUAAAUUGAAAAAAGAUGUUGAAGGCAAUGUGAUACGCCACAAGGCAAGGCUAGUCGCCAAGGGGUAUGUGCAACGUCAUGGCAUUGACUUUGAUGAGGUCUUUGCACCUGUGGCACGCCUAGAAACUGUGAGGCUACUAAUGGCAUUGGCAGCAAAUGAAGGGUGGAGGGUACACCAUAUGGAUGUGAAAUCAGCAUUCUUAAAUGGAGAAUUGGAGGAAGAAGUGUAUGUAGCACAACCUCCAGGUUUCAUUGAAACUGGCAAAGAAGGAAAGGUACUGAAACUCAGGAAAGCCUUGUAUGGGCUUCGACAGGCUCCAAGAGCCUGGAAUUUGAAACUGGAUCAGACUUUGUUGUCUCUUGGUUUCAUUAGAAGUCCUGUUGAACAUGCGGUGUACAUGAAGAAUUCUGGAAAUGCACGACUGCUGGUUGGAGUAUAUGUUGAUGAUUUGAUCAUAACCGGUUCUAGUGCAGAAGAAGUGGCUAUGUUCAAGGAACAGAUGAAAGACAUGUUCAGUAUGAGUGACUUGGGUCUACUUUCAUAUUAUCUUGGCAUUGAAGUUGCGCAAGUUGAAGAUGGCAUUUCACUCUGCCAAUCUGCAUAUGCACUGAAGAUACUAGAGAAGACUGGCAUGCUGGAUUGCAAUCCUUGUCAAACACCCAUGGAAGAAAGGCUGAAGUUAAGUAAGAAUGGAGAAGGACCCAAAGUGGAUCCAACAUACUACAGGAGUGUAGUAGGAAGCCUCAGGUACUUGGUUAACACCAGACCUGACAUCUCCUAUGCUGUUGGCGUUGUAAGCCGAUACAUGGAGAGCCCAAAUUCCCAGCACAUGGCAGCGGUGAAACAAAUUUUGAAGUAUAUCCGUGGAACUCUGAACCUUGGAUGCAAAUACUCUCAGAAUAAAGGAGAAAAGCCCAGCCUGCUUGGGUACUCUGAUAGUGAUCACGGUGGAGAUGUUGAUGACCGAAAAAGCACAACUGGAGUACUCUAUUUCCUUGGCAAGAGUCCAAUUACAUGGUUGUCCCAGAAGCAGAAAGUAGUUGCAAUUUCAUCAUGUGAAGCUGAAUAUAUUGCUGCCGCUAGUGCUGCUUGUCAGGGUUUGUGGCUUGGACAACUACUUGCUGAGAUGGAAGGGAAGCAGCCAGUUCAGGUUGAGUUGUUGGUUGACAACAAGUCGGCUAUUUCAUUGGCCAAAAAUCCUGUUCACCAUGAUCGCAGUAAGCAUAUCGAUAUACGUUAUCAUUUUAUCAGGGACUGUGUGGAGAAUGGCAAGAUCGGGGUGAACUAUGUUCCAACGGGAGAUCAGCUGGCAGACCUACUUACCAAGCCCCUUGGGCGUUUGAAGUUCCUGGAGCUCAGACGAAGGAUUGGCAUGGUGGUUGUCAAAUGA
rnacentral:rRNA from 1 species